rnacentral:rRNA from 1 species
UAGCUCACUGGUCGAGUCGGCCUGCGCGGAAGAUGUAACGGGGCUAAACCAUGCACCGAAGCUGCGGCAGCGACACUGUGUGUUGUUGGGUAGGGGAGCGUUCUGUAAGCCUGUGAAGGUGUACUGUAAGGUAUGCUGGAGGUAUCAGAAGUGCGAAUGCUGACAUAAGUAACGAUAAAGCGGGUGAAAAGCCCGCUCGCCGGAAGACCAAGGGUUCCUGUCCAACGUUAAUCGGGGCAGGGUGAGUCGACCCCU